UACGUAGGGUGCGAGCGUUAAUCGGAAUUACUGGGCGUAAAGCGUGCGCAGGCGGUUCGUCGUGUCUGAUGUGAAAGCCCCGGGCUCAACCUGGGAAUGGCAUUGGAAACUGGCGGACUAGAGUGUGGCAGAGGGGGGUGGAAUUCCAGGUGUAGCGGUGAAAUGCGUAGAUAUCUGGAGGAACACCGGUGGCGAAGGCGACAUCCUGGACCGGUAUUGACGCUGAGGCGCGAAAGCCAGGGGAGCAAACGGG
rnacentral:rRNA from 1 species